CUGACCCCACUUCCGCCAGUCCCUUUAUGGUGGCGGGAAUGAACUCUGUAUAAGUUCCGGGUCAAUCAGCUGCAUGUUCCCUGCUCCUCUGGCUGCUGUUGUUCCUGUGGUUGGCGUACUUGUCAGAUAUCGACAAAUUAUACACUACAGACCAGUUGACAGCGUGCAAUAACCCGGCCGAUUCAUUCAUCUUUACACCGUCUCACAAUCGACUCAACGGUGAGUUAUUUGUUUAUUUUGUUUUGUCACAAUGAAUGAAAAUACGGAGCCGCGGUCGCGCAUUCUAAAACGCCGGUAAGCUAAUGCUAGGCUAGUGACUGAAAGUGCAAUUCUAGUUUUAUUUAUCGAAUAUUGUUUUUGUUUAUUCCACUAUGGCCGAAUGUUGAAUUAACGUAUCAAGAGUAGAAUGAGUGAUUUGAUUUUUGUAGUUUUGUCCGUUUUGGAUGUUUUUUGUUACUUUUCUGAUUAAAUGCCAAAACGGCCUAUGAGACUUUUGUAUUGAGUUAAACCUCCUUUAGAUUAUUGAACUUGUUGCGCAACACCUUGAAUUGAAUUUUGUUUUCUAAAUAUUUGAUUAGCUUUGGAUAAUGUUUAUUAGCUUUAUUGCUAAUAUACUUUGAUGGGACCCACGAGAAUGUUUUUCUAUAAUAGUAUUUUGAAUGAAAUUCAUUAUAAUAGAUGAUGUUAUGAUUUGUUUGGUUUUUGGUUUAUUGAUUGUUGUAUGAAACAUGGCAUUAAUUACUUGACUUUGUUAUUUAUGGAUUUAUUUAUUUAUUUUGUCAUAGCAGUAGAAUGCUGUUUCAUUUUCUUCUGUGAAUGAUAAUUUAUGUUUUUGACCUUGUUUAAGUCAGGUUUUUUUCCCCCCGCGAUCAGCCCUGAUCAGCGCGGGAUGGCGAGCCACCCGACCACCGCUGCAUUGCGGACCAACAUGGACAUCAGUUUAGACUGAAAUCCAGUUCCGACAGCACACGCAACAUGUUCAAGCUUGCACGGAGACUCAGUGAAACCUGAGGAGCCUGAUCCAUUUCCAAAGGUCUCUUCGCUGCCCUUGACUAGAGAUCAGCUGUCAGCAGCUCAAUUAGCUGAUGAAACACUGCAGAGCUGUUUCAAACAUACGGUAAGUGCUGAGCAAGUCAAUAAAGAGCAACAAGCCUAUUUUGUAGAACAUGAUGUUCUAAUGCGUCAGUGGUCUCCACCAGGUGCAGAAGGUGCAGAAUGGAGUAAAGUUAAGCAGAUUGUCAUGCCCUCUGUGUACCGGCAGAAUAUCCUGACUCUUGCCCAUGAAAGCCAGUGGUCGGGACAC